rnacentral:rRNA from 1 species
GACGAACGCUGGCGGCGUGCUUAACACAUGCAAGUCGAACGGAAAGGCCCUGCUUGCAGGGUGCUCGAGUGGCGAACGGGUGAGUAACACGUGGGUGAUCUGCCCCCUACUUUGGGAUAAGCCUGGGAAACUGGGUCUAAUACUGGAUAGGACCAUGCUGUAGGUGGUGUGGUGGAAAGAUUAGUUUCGGUAAGGGAUGAGCUCGCGGCCUAUCAGCUUGUUGGUGGGGUAAUGGCCUACCAAGGCGUCGACGGGUAGCCGGCCUGAGAGGGUGGACGGCCACAUUGGGACUGAGAUACGGCCCAGACUCCUACGGGAGGCAGCAGUGGGGAAUAUUGCACAAUGGGCGCAAGCCUGAUGCAGCGACGCCGCGUGGGGGAUGACGGCCUUCGGGUUGUAAACUCCUUUCAGCCAUGACGAAGCCCUUGUGGUGACGGUAGUGGUAGAAGAAGCACCGGCUAACUACGUG